rnacentral:rRNA from 1 species
CCUUAGAGUUUGAUCCUGGCUCAGGACGAACGCUGGCGGCGCGCCUAACACAUGCAAGUCGAACGAGCGAGAGAGAGCUUGCUUUCUCGAGCGAGUGGCGAACGGGUGAGUAACGCGUGAGGAACCUGCCUCAAAGAGGGGGACAACAGUUGGAAACGACUGCUAAUACCGCAUAAGCCCACGGGUCGGCAUCGACCAGAGGGAAAAGGAGCAAUCCGCUUUGAGAUGGCCUCGCGUCCGAUUAGCUGGUUGGUGAGGUAACGGCCCACCAAGGCGACGAUCGGUAGCCGGACUGAGAGGUUGAACGGCCACAUUGGGACUGAGACACGGCCCAGACUCCUACGGGAGGCAGCAGUGGGGAAUAUUGCACAAUGGGGGAAACCCUGAUGCAGCGACGCCACGUGGAGGAAGAAGGUCUUCGGAUUGUAAACUCCUGUUGUUGAGGAAGAUAAUGACGGUACUCAACAAGGAAGUGACGGCUAACUACGUGCCAGCAGCCGCGGUAAAACGUAGGUCACAAGCGUUGUCCGGAAUUACUGGGUGUAAAGGGAGCGCAGGCGGGAAGACAAGUUGGAAGUGAAAUCCAUGGGCUCAACUCAUGAACUGCUUUCAAAACUGUUUUUCUUGAGUAGUGCAGAGGUAGGCGGAAUUCCCGGUGUAGCGGUGGAAUGCGUAGAUAUCGGGAGGAACACCAGUGGCGAAGGCGGCCUACUGGGCACCAACUGACGCUGAGGCUCGAAAGUGUGGGUAGCAAACAGGAUUAGAUACCCUGGUAGUCCACACCGUAAACGAUGACUACUAGGUGUUGGAGGAUUGACCCCUUCAGUGCCGCAGUUAACACAAUAAGUAAUCCACCUGGGGAGUACGACCGCAAGGUUGAAACUCAAAGGAAUUGACGGGGGCCCGCACAAGCAGUGGAGUAUGUGGUUUAAUUCGACGCAACGCGAAGAACCUUACCAAGUCUUGACAUCCUGCGACAGACAUAGAAAUAUGUUUUUCCUUCGGGACGCAGAGACAGGUGGUGCAUGGUUGACGUCAGCUCGUGUCGUGAGAUGUUGGGUUAAGUCCCGCAACGAGCGCAACCCUUAUGGUCAGUUACUACGCAAGAGGACUCUGGCCAGACUGCCGUUGACAAAACGGAGGAAGGUGGGGAUGACGUCAAAUCAUCAUGCCCUUUAUGACUUGGGCUACACACGUACUACAAUGGUCGGCAACAGAGGGAAGCGAAGCCGUGAGGCAGAGCAAACCCCAGAAACCCGAUCUCAGUUCGGAUUGCAGGCUGCAACUCGCCUGCAUGAAGUCGGAAUCGCUAGUAAUCGCAGGUCAGCAUACUGCGGUGAAUACGUUCCCGGGCCUUGCACUCACCGCCCGUCA